CCUGGUUGAUCCUGCCAGUAGUCAUAUGCUUGUCUCAAAGAUUAAGCCAUGCAUGUGUAAGCACACACUGUUUUAAAAGUGAAGCCGCGAAUGGCUCAUUACAACAGCCACAGUUUAUUAGAACUUACAUACAUGGAUAACUGUGGUAAUUCUAGAGCUAAUACAUGCUAAAAAUCCCGACUGUUUGGAAGGGAUGUAUUUAUUAGAUAAAAAAUCAAUGCUUUUCGGAGCUCUUUGAUGAUUCAUAAUAACUUUUCGAAUCGCAUGGCCUUGUGCUGGCGAUGGUUCAUUCAAAUUUCUGCCCUAUCAACUUUCGAUGGUAGGAUAGUGGCCUACCAUGGUUUCAACGGGUAACGGGGAAUAAGGGUUCGAUUCCGGAGAGGGAGCCUGAGAAACGGCUACCACAUCCAAGGAAGGCAGCAGGCGCGCAAAUUACCCACUCCCAGCUUGGGGAGGUAGUGACGAAAAAUAACGAGACGAUUCUCGUUUGAGAAACGUUAUCGAAAUGAGUACGCUUUACACACGCUAACGAGUAGCAAUUGGAGGGCAAGUCUGGUGCCAGCAGCCGCGGUAAUUCCAGCUCCAAUAGCGUAUAUUAAAGUUGCUGCGGUUAAAACGCUCGUAGUUGAAUUGUGGUCUUAGACAACAGUCCCCCUAUAUAGGUGUGGCACGGUUGCUCGAGAUCUUCAUUCGUGGUUGCUGUUGUUGCUCUUCAUUGAGUGUCAAUGGUGCCUCGAGAUUUUACUUUGAAAAAAUUAGAGUGUUCAAAGCAGGCCUUUGCUCGAAUAUAUUAGCAUGGAAUAAUAGAAUAGGACGUUAUGGUUCUAUUUUGUUGGUUUCUAGGACCAUCGUAAUGAUUAAUAGGGACGGUCGGGGGCAUCAGUAUUCAGUUGUCAGAGGUGAAAUUCUUGGAUUACCUGAAGACUAACUACUGCGAAAGCAUUUGCCAAGGACGUUUUCAUUAAUCAAGAACGAAAGUUAGAGGUUCGAAGGCGAUCAGAUACCGCCCUAGUUCUAACGGUAAACUAUGCCAACCAGCGAUUCGCCGAAGUUCAUUUAAGACUCGGCGAGCAGCUUCCGGGAAACCAAAGUGUUUCGGUUCCGGGGGAAGUAUGGUUGCAAAGCUGAAACUUAAAGGAAUUGACGGAAGGGCACCACCAGGAGUGGAGCCUGCGGCUUAAUUUGACCCAACACGGGAAAACUCACCCGGCCCGGACACUGAAAGGAUUGACAGAUUGACAGCUCUUUCUUGAUUCAGUGGGUAGUGGUGCAUGGCCGUUCUUAGUUGGUGGAGCGAUUUGUCUGGUUAAUUCCGAUAACGAACGAGACUCUACCCUAUUAAAUAGUGACAGUAUUGCAUAUUCUGUGCUGAUCACUUCUUAGAGGGACUGGCAAAUUGAAAGCUGCACGAAAAAGAGCAAUAACAGGUCUGUGAUGCCCUUCGAUGUCCGGGGCUGCACGCGCGCUACAAUGAAAGCGUCAACGUGAGUUACGUCCUUACCUGAAAAGGUUUGGCAAUCGAUUGAAACGUUUUCUUGAAUGGAAUAGGGAAUUGCAAUUGUUUCCCUUGAACGAGGAAUUCCCAGUAAGCGUGAGUCAUUAGCUCGCGUUGAUUACGUCCCUGCCCUUUGUACACACCGCCCGUCGCUACUACCGAUUGGAUGAUUUAGUGAGGUGUUUUGACUAGCGCCUGUAGUCGGAUGUAUAUUCGGCUUCGCGCCGGGAAAUUUCCCAAACCAAAUCAUCUAGAGGAAGUAAAAGUCGUAACAAGGUUUCCGUAGGUGAACCUGCGGAAGGAUCA
rnacentral:rRNA from 1 species